UUCCCGACAAAACUUCGCAUCCCUCCGCACUGCGCCCUUGUCUUCUUCCUGGCGGCGACGCCCCGACAACCUCGUCGCUACCGUCGAUGGCGCCCACCAUCCUACGCCUUCCCCCUCCGUCCCACGCGCGCCCGACGUCGCCUCCCUCUCUUCUCUCUCGUCUCGAGCGGUUUCCCCUUCUUAUCACGUCCCCGAGCCUACAUCCUCUCGUGCCCACCGAUGUGGUGCUAAAAAUUGUGAUUUUCCUCCUGAUCUCUCUUUGAUGGCGGUGGCGGCGGCACGGCGGAGCUCAAGUGGUGGAGGUGGCUGGAGUAGAUCCAAUCGCGGUAUAGAUGGAGCUCCAGUCGUGGCGGUGGUUGAGGCACGACGGAGCUGCAGUCGAGGUUGAGCUCAAAAUGGUGAUUUUGCUCCGGAUAUGUCUCGGUGGCGGUGGUGGAGGCACGGCGGAGCUGCAGUCCAGUUUGUUGGUGGAGGAAUUUCUCUCGACCCGAAAAAUCCUCUUUUCUCGCUGCUCGAUUGAGGCAGCAGCGGCGACGACGGGGGACGUCGGCAUCCCUCCAUGACCACAGCGGCUUCGCUGUUCCGGGUGUCCCAUCUGCUCAUCAAGCCCUCCUUCAGGUGCCUCUCCAGAAAGGGCGUCGGCAGGUAUGGCGAAAUCAAGGUGUACGCGGUGCUCAGGGACGACGGCGCUGACUAUCUGAAGGACAACGGCCCCUGGGAGGCCCUGUUCCAUGUGGACGACCCUGGGCCAAGGGUUCCGAUUGAGUUGGGCAAGUUCCUGGACGCCAAGCAGGUGCUCAACGUCGUCCGCUUCAACAUCCAGUACUGCGACUGGAGGGCCCGGCAGGAUCUGCUCACCAUCAUUUGUGCUCCACAACAAGGUGGUGGAGGUUCUGAAUCCUUUAGCGAGAGACUUCAAGUCCGUCGGAAACUUGAGGAAAAAUCUUGCCGGGUUACAGGAGGACCUGGCAAAAGCUCACAACCAGAAACAUUCAAGGAGAUCCAAGAGGAAGACCUCCAGAAUAUGUUUAUGCAGUACAAGAAUACCGUUAUCAUGAUGCCUACAUCAGGGGAAGUGAAGAUUGCCUUUCCUAUGAAUAUGUUUAUGCAGUCUUGUCAGGUGAUAAAGCCCCGCUGAGAUCUAUGGUGUUCUGUGUGAGGUCAAGGUCAUAUUCUUUCUUGGGUAAUUUGCAAGUGACGCUGCAAUCUGCACUGCAUCGUACUCCAGUGAAACUGAAGAAACCAGCUAAUGCGUGCACCUACAGGUUAUUAACUCAGGCUCUACUUGGGCACCAGCAUUAGAAGGUGCGCUCCAGCAUCGUGCUAGUCUUGGACGGCCACGACGGCAAGAUCCUGGCCACCCUCGCCCGCCUCCUCUACAGAAGCUUCGGGGUCAUCCUCCUCGAGCUCGGCGACAGGGGAGGUCCAGCAGCGGCGGACAGCGGGUUCCAGCAGCGGCGGCGAGAGGCGGCUCCAGCAGCGGCGGCAGAGCGCGGGAGGCCGCUGACCCUGCGGCGCGAAGCGCGAGAGGUCGCCGGCGCGGAGGGCGGGAGGCCGCCCGCCCACCGGCGCGAGGCUGCGAGCUCCACCGGCGCCAGGCUGCGAGGGGCGCGGGAGUCCUCCGGCGCCAGGCUGCGAGGGGUGUGGUAAUCCCCCGGUGGGAGGCCGUGAGGGGCGCGCGAGUCCGCCGGCGGGAGGCUGCCACCGCGAGCGCGGGAGUCCGCCGGCGCACGCGAAGCUGCGAGAUUUGAUCGGGGACGAGAUGGUUACACUUCGAACUACAAAGGGUCAAAAUGGAAAAUUGAUUUUGCACUGGCCGUCCGACAGGUAAUUCGGGACGGAGGGAGUACUUAGGGGGGUUAUGUGGACUUCUUUCGUCCCAAUCGAAUCAUGGCGGCGUAAUGGAGGAGGAGCCGACUGGAGAGGGGGUGAAGCGCCGCGCGGCCGUGGCGUGCAUCCCGCCGACGGAUGCGCGCAGGAGGAGGCGACCGGGUUGGGAGACGAGAUGCUGCCCAGGCGUGGCGUCUAGGGCCCCGAUGGAUGCGCGCAGGAUUAGCCGGCCGGGGAGAUGGGCGAGGCGCCGCACGGCCAUGGUGUCCAGCCGUCGGCUCCCUGCGGCGGUGAGUUGGGGAAAAGAUAGGAGAUUAGCAGUCCGGGAAGGUGGGCGAGGUGCCGCGCGGCCGUGGCGUCCAGUCGUCGGCUCCCUGCGCCGGCGAGAUGGGACCAAGGUAGGAGAUUAGCCAGCUGGGGAGUUGAGCGGGGCGUCGCUUCUGCUCGACCGGAUGGGCGGGAUAGCUGAGGAGGACCAACAGGACGAGGAGAAGACGCUCGAGGAGGUGGCCGGAGGAGGACGGCAUGCACGGAGAAAGGAAAGCAGAACGCCGCCCAUGGCUCCGUCGACCUCUCUCUUGGAUACUCCACGCUGUCCCCAACUCAUAAGGGGCAGUUCAUACUUCUGGCUGGACCUGCGGUGAUGUAGCCCGACCUUCGGUCUUCGCCACAUCAUAUGCUUCAUCGACAAGACGUCACGCUAAGGUGAAUCUUCUCCUUUACGCGUGCCUCGAAUCGCCUAUUUGGGACGACAUACUACUUCAUACUCCGUCACAUCUUGAUGAUAGGAACUCGACGACAAGUACGGAGGGAAGAGAGGACGCCACGGAGACCCGAGGACGCAAGGCCGAUGUCACGGAACCUUGGAAGAGAAGGAGGAAGAGGAGCUGGAAGCUCCAGGGCCGGCACUGCCGCCCUACACAGGCCGGCACUGCCGCCUGGGUGGACGUGCGCGCUUCGGUGGGGCGGCCGCACCUGGCUCGGCAACAGCCGGCUCGACCUCAGUCACUUCAUCGUCGACCUCUUCGUCGCCAUCAUCAGCCUCUUCGUCGCCAUCAUCAUCAAUCUCAUCGACAUGAACCUCUUCAUCGAACGGAUCGAUGCCAGCGUCCAGGUCCACCGCGGAACCGUUCGGCCUUCCAACCCCCACUAGUAAGGGUCGAGGAGCCGACCAAGGCCGGAACUCGAAAUUUUCGAUACGGGCCGGCUGUUUUACGGGGCAUGAUAAAUGCCGUGGAAGCACCGAAACCCGUAUUCCGACGGUUAUUUUACGGGUUUUGGCAUUUUAGGGGGCCUGUUAGACAUGCUCUUAGGACAUCUCUAGUGGGCUACCCGAUCUUGGCACGUUCAAAUCAGUAGCGCGAAUAGAUAUACUGGUCGCACGUUCCAGCGGGGCGAUCCAAACGGACUCCGUCACGA